GUCCCUAUCGUCUAGUCGGCCCAGGACACCGCCCUUUCACGGCGGUAACGGGGGUUCGAAUCCCCCUGGGGACGCCA
rnacentral:tRNA from 1 species